GAUGAACGCUGGCGGCGUGCCUAAUACAUGCAAGUCGAGCGAACGGACGAGAAGCUUGCUUCUCUGAUGUUAGCGGCGGACGGGUGAGUAACACGUGGAUAACCUACCUAUAAGACUGGGAUAACUUCGGGAAACCGGAGCUAAUACCGGAUAAUAUUUUGAACCGCAUGGUUCAAAAGUGAAAGACGGUCUUGCUGUCACUUAUAGAUGGAUCCGCGCUGCAUUAGCUAGUUGGUAAGGUAACGGCUUACCAAGGCAACGAUGCAUAGCCGACCUGAGAGGGUGAUCGGCCACACUGGAACUGAGGCACGGUCCAGACUCCUACGGGAGGCAGCAGUAGGGAAUCUUCCGCAAUGGGCGAAAGCCUGACGGAGCAACGCCGCGUGAGUGAUGAAGGUCUUCGGAUCGUAAAACUCUGUUAUUAGGGAAGAACAUAUGUGUAAGUAACUGUGCACAUCGUGACGGUACCUAAUCAGAAAGCCACGGCUAACUACGUG
rnacentral:rRNA from 1 species